AGAGACUGGGAUAACACCUGGAAACAGAUGCUAAUACCGGAUAACAACACUAGACGCAUGUCUAGAGUUUGAAAGAUGGUUCUGCUAUCACUCUUGGAUGGACCUGCGGUGCAUUAGCUAGUUGGUAAGGUAACGGCUUACCAAGGCAAUGAUGCAUAGCCGAGUUGAGAGACUGAUCGGCCACAUUGGGACUGAGACACGGCCCAAACUCCUACGGGAGGCAGCAGUAGGGAAUCUUCCACAAUGGACGAAAGUCUGAUGGAGCAACGCCGCGUGAGUGAAGAAGGGUUUCGGCUCGUAAAGCUCUGUUGGUAGUGAAGAAAGAUAGAGGUAGUAACUGGCCUUUAUUUGACGGUAAUUACUUAGAAAGUCACGGCUAACUACGUGCCAGCAGCCGCGGUAAUACGUAGGUGGCAAGCGUUGUCCGGAUUUAUUGGGCGUAAAGCGAGUGCAGGCGGUUCAAUAAGUCUGAUGUGAAAGCCUUCGGCUCAACCGGAGAAUUGCAUCAGAAACUGUUGAACUUGAGUGCAGAAGAGGAGAGUGGAACUCCAUGUGUAGCGGUGGAAUGCGUAGAUAUAUGGAAGAACACCAGUGGCGAAGGCGGCUCUCUGGUCUGCAACUGACGCUGAGGCUCGAAAGCAUGGGUAGCGAACAGGAUUAGAUACCCUGGUAGUCCAUGCCGUAAACGAU
rnacentral:rRNA from 1 species